GGCGUGGAGGGGGGCGCAGGGGGUGUAGGGGGAAGGGAGGGCGCGUGAGGAUGGGGGUGAGGAUGGCGGACCAUGGAGGCGUGUGGCAAGAUGGUACCUGUGAAAGAUGAGCCAGAUGCCACAUGUAAUGGAAAACUCUGAACCUCCAUGGAGAGAAGGAUACGGUGGAAGGAACCCGUCUGCACUCCAGACACAUAGGCUCCUGUUUCAUGGAAUUUUCCUCUUGGAGGAGUAAGCAGUCAUUUCCAACUAUAUCAGAACCAGGACCGCCACACAGUUAACACUUACACCUAUUUGAUUUCUGUUACCAUGUGCUCAGCCCUUGCAGAGCGAAAUGGCAGCUGGACGGUACAUUGUCCAGAAGAGGGGGCCAAAGACUUUCAGAAAUGCCAGGAGCCCUGUCAUAAUUCCAGCCCAUGAAAGGAAGAGGCCUGCCCCAGUGAUACAAGCGUGCUGACUCC
rnacentral:lncRNA from 1 species